GCUUACGGCCAUGCCACCCUGAGAACGCCCGAUCUCGUCUGAUCUCGGAAACUACGCAGGGUCGGGCCUGGUUAGUACUUGGAUGGGAGACCGUCUGGGAAUACCAGGUGCUGUAAGCU
rnacentral:rRNA from 1 species